rnacentral:sRNA from 1 species
UACUUGAGGAGACCCUACAUACAGCCAUU